ACGAACGCUGGCGGCGUGCUUAACACAUGCAAGUCGAACGGAAAGGCCCUGCUUUUGUGGGGUGCUCGAGUGGCGAACGGGUGAGUAACACGUGAGUAACCUGCCCUUGACUUUGGGAUAACUUCAGGAAACUGGGGCUAAUACCGGAUAGGAGCUCCUGCUGCAUGGUGGGGGUUGGAAAGUUUCGGCGGUUGGGGAUGGACUCGCGGCUUAUCAGCAUGUUGGUGGGGUAGUGGCUUACCAAGGCUUUGACGGGUAGCCGGCCUGAGAGGGUGACCGGCCACAUUGGGACUGAGAUACGGCCCAGACUCCUACGGGAGGCAGCAGUGGGGAAUAUUGCACAAUGGGCGGAAGCCUGAUGCAGCAACGCCGCGUGCGGGAUGACGGCCUUCGGGUUGUAAACCGCUUUCGCCUGUGACGAAGCGUGAGUGACGGUAAUGGGUAAAGAAGCACCGGCUAACUACGUG
rnacentral:rRNA from 1 species